rnacentral:rRNA from 1 species
CCUUGUACACACCGCCCGUCACACCACGAAAGCUGUUUGUACUCGAAAUUAUCUUAGCUAACCGGCAACGGAGGCGGGUAAUGAAGGUAUGGGAGUGAUUGGGUG